rfam:Felis catus isolate Cinnamon breed Abyssinian chromosome A1, whole genome shotgun sequence.
GCCUGGGUGGCUCAGUCGGUUGAGCAUCUGACUUCGGCUCAGUUCGUGAUCUCACAGUCCGUGAGUUCGAGCCCCGCAUCGGGCU